UGGGGAAUAUUGCACAAUGGGCGCAAGCCUGAUGCAGCCAUGCCGCGUGUAUGAAGAAGGCCUUCGGGUUGUAAAGUACUUUCAGCGGGGAGGAAGGUGUUGUGGUUAAUAACCUCAGCAAUUGACGUUACCCGCAGAAGAAGCACCGGCUAACUCCGUGCCAGCAGCCGCGGUAAUACGGAGGGUGCAAGCGUUAAUCGGAAUUACUGGGCGUAAAGUGCACGCAGGCGGUCUGUCAAGUCGGAUGUGAAAUCCCCGGGCUCAACCUGGGAACUGCAUCCGAAACUGGCAGGCUUGAGUCUUGUAGAGGGGGGUAGAAUUCCAGGUGUAGCGGUGAAAUGCGUAGAGAUCUGGAGGAAUACCGGUGGCGAAGGCGGCCCCCUGGACAAAGACUGACGCUCAGGUGCGAAAGCGUGGGGAGCAAACA
rnacentral:rRNA from 1 species